UGGCGGCGAGUGGCGAACGGGUGAGUAAGAGAUUCGGAACGUGUCCUGGAGUGGGGGAUAGCCCGGCGAAAGCCGGAUUAAUACCGCAUACGCUCGGGAGAGGAAAGCGGGGGAUCGAAAGACCUCGCGCUCAAGGGGCGGCCGAUGGCAGAUUAGCUAGUUGGUGGGGUAAAGGCCUACCAAGGCGACGAUCUGUAGCUGGUCUGAGAGGACGACCAGCCACACUGGGACUGAGACACGGCCCAGACUCCUACGGGAGGCAGCAGUGGGGAAUUUUGGACAAUGGGGGCAACCCUGAUCCAGCAAUGCCGCGUGUGUGAAGAAGGCCUUCGGGUUGUAAAGCACUUUUGUCCGGAAAGAAAGCUUCCGACCUAAUACGUCUGGAGGAUGACGGUACCGGAAGAAUAAGCACCGGCUAACUACGUGCCAGCAGCCGCGGUAAUACGUAGGGUGCGAGCGUUAAUCGGAAUUACUGGGCGUAAAGCGUGCGCAGGCGGUGCUGUAAGACCGAUGUGAAAUCCCCGGGCUUAACCUGGGAACUGCAUUGGUGACUGCAGCGCUGGAGUAUGGCAGAGGGGGGUGGAAUUCCACGUGUAGCAGUGAAAUGCGUAGAGAUGUGGAGGAACACCGAUGGCGAAGGCAGCCCCCUGGGCCAAUACUGACGCUCAUGCACGAAAGCGUGGGGAGCAACAGGAUUAGAUACCCUGGUAGUCCACGCCCUAAACGAUGUCAACUGGUUGUCGGGCCUUCAUUGGCUUGGUAACGUAGCUAACGCGUGAAGUUGACCGCCUGGGGAGUACGGUCGCAAGAUUAAAACUCAAAGGAAUUGACGGGGACCCGCACAAGCGGUGGAUGAUGUGGAUUAAUUCGAUGCAACGCGAAAAACCUUACCUACCCUUGACAUGGAUGGAACCUUGCUGAGAGGCGAGGGUGCCCGAAAGGGAGCCAUCACACAGGUGCUGCAUGGCUGUCGUCAGCUCGUGUCGUGAGAUGUUGGGUUAAGUCCCGCAACGAGCGCAACCCUUGUCCCUGGUUGCUACGCAAGAGCACUCCAGGGAGACUGCCGGUGACAAACCGGAGGAAGGUGGGGAUGACGUCAAGUCCUCAUGGCCCUUAGGGGUAGGGCUUCACACGUCAUACAAUGGUGGGAACAGAGGGUCGAGAAGCCGCGAGGUGGAGCCAAUCCCAGAAAACCGAUCGUAGUCCGGAUCGCAGUCUGCAACUCGACU
rnacentral:rRNA from 1 species